CUGCCCCGGUCCCUGACGCUGCGCCUGCUGGGGGCGACUCUCCCUCUCGGACCAAGGGACCCGGCUCCUGGGCACCUCGGCCGGGUGAAGCCGGCACGGGCGGUGGGCCGGGAUUGGAGGGCUGCGCCUCGGAUUUCUGGGGAGACACUGCGGCAUCAGAACUUGAGCUGUGUUCCCAAUUUCAUACAGAUGCCAAGGCUUCAUAUAUGAAGGACAUUCACUAAAAAGGGAGCCAAACCCAGAUGGUACGGAGGAAAUGGCGCCAGUAAAAAACGUGAUGUUUGCCUGAAACGUGUGGCUUUUCAAACUGAAGGAUUAAUAAGAGGACUUUGUUUAUUUCAUUUCCCUUCCUGUUGUGGCACAGAAUGUAUUACCUGCAGCAAAGCCCAUCAGCUGGAACCAGAAUGUUGGUAAGAAUAGAAAGCCUUGCAGACCACCUCACUGAAUGUGAUGCUCAGAGUAUAGGUGGAAAAUUCAUAAAUUGGGAUUUGAUGCCAGACGGAGAGAAAAAAAGUCUCAUUUGAUCCUUGAGCACUUGCCAACCUCUCUAUUUUUAAUUGUGGAGCCAGUGAGCUAGCAGGAACCAGACCGUUCCACAGGAAACAGUAUUUGGCUGGAAUCAGGUACAACAUGGGACAGGUCAACGAAAUUUUAUGUCAUGCUGAUUAAGAGUUUCCAGUUUUCUGUUUUCAGUAUCUGUGGCUUCACUGCUCAAAGCCUACCUUCAGCAGCCCAGUGCCACAUUUGAGACUGCAGCACCCCAUUUCAAGGCACCUGAUCUGAUGGCAGUGAGUUGAAGGUCAUCCAAAAGUGUUGCUGUACACAUUAAUGAAGAACACGUUGAAACCUUUCAUGAAGAUCUCACUUUUACACUGGACACAUUGGCUUCACCAAAUUUACCCAAGAUAGGUGAUUAUCUAAAGGUUUUUACAUGAGAAGUGGAAUUUCCUUUGAAAAUUAUUUAUGUAUUUUGAGAGAGAAAAG